UAGGGAAUCUUCGGCAAUGGGGGGAACCCUGACCGAGCAACGCCGCGUGAGUGAAGAAGGUUUUCGGAUCGUAAAGCUCUGUUGUUAAGGAAGAAAGAGUGUGAGAAUGGAAAGUUCAUACUGUGACGGUACUUAACCAGAAAGGGACGGCUAACUACGUGCCAGCAGCCGCGGUAAUACGUAGGUCCCGAGCGUUGUCCGGAUUUAUUGGGCGUAAAGCGAGCGCAGGCGGUUAGAUAAGUCUGAAGUUAAAGGCAGUGGCUCAACCAUUGUAGGCUUUGGAAACUGUUUAACUUGAGUGCAGAAGGGGAGAGUGGAAGUCCAUGUGUAGCGGUGAAAUGCGUAGAUAUAUGGAGGAACACCGGUGGCGAAAGCGGCUCUCUGGUCUGUAACUGACGCUGAGGCUCGAAAGCGUGGGGAGCGAACAGG
rnacentral:rRNA from 1 species